UUCAGAGUCGCUUGUCUCAUCCCGGGGGCAACCCCUUGUGGCUAAGAACAGGAUGGGACGCGCAACUCUGUUUC
rnacentral:pre_miRNA from 1 species